UACGUAGGGUGCAAGCGUUUGUCCGGAAUUAUUGGGCGUAAAGAGCUCGUAGGCGGUCUGUCGCGUCUGCUGUGAAAACUCAGGGCUUAACCCUGAGCUUGCAGUGGGUACGGGCAGACUAGAGUGCGGUAGGGGAGACUGGAAUUCCUGGUGUAGCGGUGAAAUGCGCAGAUAUCAGGAGGAACACCGGUGGCGAAGGCGGGUCUCUGGGCCGUAACUGGACGCU
rnacentral:rRNA from 1 species